GAUGAACGCUGGCGGCGUGCCUAAUACAUGCAAGUCGAGCGAACGGACGAGAAGCUUGCUUCUCUGAUGUUAGCGGCGGACGGGUGAGUAACACGUGGAUAACCUACCUAUAAGACUGGGAUAACUUCGGGAAACCGGAGCUAAUACCGGAUAAUAUUUUGAACCGCAUGGUUCAAAAGUGAAAGACGGUCUUGCUGUCACUUAUAGAUGGAUCCGCGCUGCAUUAGCUAGUUGGUAAGGUAACGGCUUACCAAGGCAACGAUGCAUAGCCGACCUGAGAGGGGGAUCGGCCACCCUGGAACUGAGACCCGGUCCAGCCUCCUAGGGGAGGCAGCAGUGGGGAAUCUUCCGCAAUGGGCGAAAGCCUGACGGAGCAACGCCGGGGGAGUGAUGAAGGUCUUCGGAUCGUAAAACCCUGUUAUUGGGGAAGAACAUAUGUGUAAGUAACUGGGCACAUCUUGACGGUACCAAAUCAAAAAGCCACGGCUAACUACGU
rnacentral:rRNA from 1 species